rnacentral:misc_RNA from 1 species
AACACUGUUAACCUGCGGUACCUGCGGAGGGAUCAUUACAGAAAUAAAUGUGAUGAGUUGCUGCUGGCUUUUAUCAAAGCACCUGUGCACACUCGUCAUUUUUAUCUUUCCACCAUGUGCACCUCUGCAUAGGCUUGAAAUCAUGUUUGUGAGCAUCUGAUGCUUGCUGGUAAAUUGCAGCUUAUGUGCUGCUUUUGUCCAAUAUUCAAGCCCUAUGAUUUUUGUCUAUAUACACCUCGC